GACGAACCGAGCGAACGUUGUUCGGAAUCACUGGGCUUAAAGGGCGCGUAGGCGGCUUGCCAAGUCAGGGGUGAAAUCCAGCAGCUUAACUGUUGAAGUGCCUUUGAUACUGGCGAGCUCGAGGGAGGUAGGGGUAUGCGGAACUUCUGGUGGAGCGGUGAAAUGCGUUGAUAUCAGAAGGAACGCCGGUGGCGAAAGCGGCGUACUGGACCUCUUCUGACGCUGAGGCGCGAAAGCUAGGGGAGCAAACGGG
rnacentral:rRNA from 1 species